CACGUAGGGGGCGAGCGUUGUCCGGAAUUACUGGGCGUAAAGGGAGCGUAGGCGGACUUUUAAGUGAGAUGUGAAAUACCCGGGCUCAACUUGGGUGCUGCACUUCAAACUGGAAGUCUAGAGUGCAGGAGAGGUUAUCGGAAUUCCCGGUGUAGCGGUGAAAUGCGUAGAGAUCGGGAGGAACACCAGUGGCGAAGGCGGGUAACUGGACUGCAACUGACGCUGAGGCGCGAAAGUGUGGGGAGCAAACAGGAUUAGAUACCCCCGUAGUCCCUGAG
rnacentral:rRNA from 1 species